rnacentral:tRNA from 2 species
AGAGAGUUGUCCGAGUGGUUGAAGGAGCACGCCUGGAAAGUGUGUUAGCGUCUAAAGCGCUACGAGGGUUCGAAUCCCUCACUCUCUG